AUUCCUUUUUUUUUUUUUUUUUUUUUUUUUUUUUUAUCAUUUUUCCUUUAGUCUCAGGUGAUUCGUCGCCAUCACCAUUUGGAGAAAAAUCGUCUCCUCUCAUCCCAAAACCCUAGCCGCCGAUGUCGUCGCUGAUUCUCCUCGUCGAUUAAUUUCGUUUAGUCGUUGUCCCCUUACUCGGAAAAAGUUAGGGUUAUGGAUUCCGAAUUAGCAACCAUGGAAGAGAUCACCAAUGGAGUGAACAACAUGAACUUGGCCGUUGAUUCCCAGAAGAAAAGUCGUAUUCAGAUUUCAAACACCAAGAAACGAUUGUUCUUCUACGUCAAUCUCGCCAAGAGGUAUAUGCAGCAAACAAUGAUGUCGAACUCUCUGCCCUUGGAAUGGAUUGAAAUUACGCUUGCAAAGUCAGAGAAGUUUGAUGAACUAAUGGUUGCAGCCAAUGUAGAAAAAGAAGUUACAGAAGCUCAGCUGCCAAGAUUGAGAAUGUAGGAAUUAACUUUUAGUGUGAAUGUCGUUGAAAGCUGUUAUAACCCCUUAGCAAAGUGAGCAGCUGAAAAGAGUGGUUUUGCUACAAUUUGUUUGCUUCAUACAAAAUGAGAAGGAAGGUGUUUAGGAGAAGGAGCUUGCAUGUGGUUGCAGGAGCUUAAGUGGAUUCAAGUUUGGAACUUGUCAAGGUUUUGAGAGCAAAUUUUCACCCAUCUGCUGCAAUCACGCUCUACAUCACGUUCGAAGCCAAUGAUCCUAAAGAUGGUAACCAGACAAAACGUUACCAAGCAGUGGUCCUCUACUUGUCCUUUGAUAUCCAAGUAUGCUCUUGCAAGCCUAAACCAUCUUCUUGAAUUUUUAGAGAUGUGUUAGUUAAGCCCAAUUUUUACAUGAUGAUGAAUAUUAUAAAGAAUAGCUUGUUAUGGAUUGCUCAUGUUUUGCAACGUGAGUUUUGUGAAUGUGCUAUUUUAGAUUUGCAACA